rnacentral:rRNA from 1 species
UGGUGCAUGACUGUAGUCAGCUGGUGCCAUAAGGUGUUGUGUUAUGUCCCGUAACGAGCGCAACCCUCGUGUUUAGUUUUCAUCAUUGAGUUUGGAAUCCUGAACAGAUUGCCAUGAUAAGUCGGAGAGUGUCAUCGAUUUAUUUGUGUU